rnacentral:rRNA from 1 species
GGAAGAAGCGAAAGUGACGGUACCUGCAGAAAAAGCGCCGGCUAACUACGUGCCAGCAGCCGCGGUAAUACGUAGGGCGCAAGCGUUAUCCGGAAUUAUUGGGCGUAAAGAGCUCGUAGGCGGUUUGUCGCGUCUGCUGUGAAAUCCCGAGGCUCAACCUCGGGCCUGCAGUGGGUACGGGCAGACUAGAGUGCGGUAGGGGAGAUUGGAAUUCCUGGUGUAGCGGUGGAAUGCGCAGAUAUCAGGAGGAACACCGAUGGCGAAGGCAGAUCUCUGGGCCGUAACUGACGCUGAGGAGCGAAAGGGUGGGGAGCAAACAGGCUUAGAUACCCUGGUAGUCCACCCCGUAAACGUUGGGAACUAGUUGUGGGGUCCAUUCCACGGAUUCCGUGACGCAGCUAACGCAUUAAGUUCCCCGCCUGGGGAGUGCGGCCGCAAGGCUAAAACUCAAAGGAAUUGACGGGGACCCGCACAAGCGGCGGAGCAUGCGGAUUAAUUCGAUGCAACGCGAAGAACCUUACCAAGGCUUGACAUAUACGAGAACGGGCCAGAAAUGGUCAACUCUUUGGACACUCGUAAACAGGUGGUGCAUGGUUGUCGUCAGCUCGUGUCGUGAGAUGUUGGGUUAAGUCCCGCAACGAGCGCAACCCUCGUUCUAUGUUGCCAGCACGUAAUGGUGGGAACUCAUGGGAUACUGCCGGGGUCAACUCGGAGGAAGGUGGGGAUGACGUCAAAUCAUCAUGCCCCUUAUGUCUUGGGCUUCACGCAUGCUACAAUGGCCGGUACAAAGGGCUGCAAUACCGUGAGGUGGAGCGAAUCCCAAAAAGCCGGUCCCAGUUCGGAUUGAGGUCUGCAACUCGACCUCAUGAAGUCGGAGUCGCUAGUAAUCGCAGAUCAGCAACGCUGCGGUGAAUACGUUCCCGGGUCUUGUACACACCGCCCGUCAAGUCAUGAAAGUCGGUAACACCUGAAGCCGG